rnacentral:rRNA from 1 species
GAACGAUGCCUUCGGGCAUAGUGGCGCACGGGUGCGUAACGCGUGGGAAUCUGCCCUUGGGUUCGGAAUAACAGUUAGAAAUGACUGCUAAUACCGGAUAAUGACGUAAGUCCAAAGAUUUAUCGCCCAAGGAUGAGCCCGCGUAGGAUUAGCUUGUUGGUGAGGUAAAAGCUCACCAAGGCGACGAUCCUUAGCUGGUCUGAGAGGAUGAUCAGCCACACUGGGACUGAGACACGGCCCAG